rnacentral:rRNA from 1 species
UGAGGAAUAUUGCACAAUGGGCGCAAGCCUGAUGCAGCGACGCCGCGUGUGGGAUGAAGGGGCUACGCCUCGUAAACCACUGUAGCCCGGGACGAAAAACGCCUUAGAGGCGUUAGACGGUACCGGGAAAGUAAGGGUCGGCUAACUACGUGCCAGCAGCCGCGGUAAUACGUAGGACCCAAGCGUUGUCCGGAUUUACUGGGUGUAAAGCGCGUGUAGGCGGUCUGGUUAGUUGGAUGUGAAAGCUCCCGGCUUAACUGGGAGAGGUCGUUCAAUACUGCCAGACUAGAGAGUGGUAGAGGGAGAUGGAAUUCCGGGUGUAGUGGUGAAAUGCGUAGAUAUCCGGAGGAACACCAGUGGCGAAAGCGAUCUCCUGGACCAUUUCUGACGCUCAGACGCGAAAGCUAGGGUAGCAAACG